AAGCUGGAAUCGCUAGUAAUCGCGAAUCAGAAUGUCGCGGUGAAUACGUUCCCGGGUCUUGUACACACCGCCCGUCACACCAUGGGAGUCAGCAACGCCCGAAGUCAGUGACCUAACCGAAAGGGAGGAGCUGCCGAAGGCGGGGCCGGUAACUGGGGUGAAGUCGUAACAAGGUACC
rnacentral:rRNA from 1 species